CCUGGUGACAAUAGCGGAGGGGAAACACCCGUACCCAUCCCGAACACGGCAGUUAAGCCCUCCAGCGCCGAUGGUACUGCGCGUAAGCGUGGGAGAGUAGGUCGUUGCCAGGA
rnacentral:rRNA from 1 species